rnacentral:rRNA from 1 species
AGCGAACGCUGGCGGCAGGCCUAACACAUGCAAGUCGAACGGAUCCUUCGGGAUUAGUGGCGGACGGGUGAGUAACACGUGGGAACGUGCCCUUUGGUUCGGAACAACUCAGGGAAACUUGAGCCAAUACCGGAUGUGCCCUUCGGGGGAAAGAUUUAUCGCCAUUGGAGCGGCCCGCGUCUGAUUAGCUAGUUGGUGGGGUAAGGGCCCACCAAGGCGACGAUCUGUAGCUGGUCUGAGAGGAUGAUCAGCCAGAUUGUGACGGAGACACGGCCCAGACUCCUACGGGAGGCAGCAGUGGGGAAUCUUGCGCAAUGGGCGAAAGCCUGACGCAGCCAUGCCGCGUGAAUGAUGAAGGUCUUAGGAUUGUAAAAUUCUUUCACCGGGGACGAUAAUGACGGUACCCGGAGAAGAAGCCCCGGCUAACUUCGUGCCAGCCGCCGCGGUAAGAC